GACAGAGGGGGCAAGCGUUGUUCGGAAUUACUGGGCGUAAAGGGCUCGUAGGCGGCCAACUAAGUCGGAUGUGAAAUCCCCAGGCUCAACUUGGGAACUGCAUCCGAUACUGGAUGGCUUGAAUUCGGGAGAGGGAUGCAGAAUUCCAGGUGUAGCGGUGAAAUUCGUAGAUAUUGGGAAGAACACCGAUGGCGAAGGCAGCUCUCUGGACCGUUACUGACGCUGAGGCGCGAAAAGCGUGGGGAGCAAACAGG
rnacentral:rRNA from 1 species